UUUAGUAUAAAAAUCAAAUACAGAUUACUCUUUGCUCAAUAUGUUUACUUUUUACUUUUUAACGAUGUUUUAUGGACGUUUAGCUGUAAAUUAUGUCUAAAUGAUGUGAUAAUACUAAUCAAUUGAAAAAGUUAUCUUCUGACGAUCAAGAAAAACAAGUGUUUGAAGUUACACAAAAAAUAUUUUAUAUCCCAUAAUUGGUUCAAAGCCCGGAUGUUGGAGAAAGUUUAAAACAAUUUUGCAGAACUUUUGAUAUAGUUCAACACUCAUUAUGGUCCCACUAGCUUUUGUCAAGUUAUAAAUUUAUGAAUCAUGACUUUCCCAAUAUCAAAGUGAUUAUUGCAUCCAUGCAAUCAGCUGGCUCUGGCUAAAUGGCAUUCAAUGAAUGGAGUCCCUGAAAUAGACGAACCACAUUCUGGCACAAUCAACUUACUACCCAUUAGUGAAUUGAAUGGUGUACAUCCACACAAAACUGCACACCACCAAAGAACAGAUUUCUACUUUGAUCACGGGAGAUUUUGACAAUGUUCUUAACAACAAGCUUAAUGAAGCUACUUGCCUUGUUUGUGAUAGUGGCAGCCUCAGGGGAGCUUAGCAUAGAGGUACAGAAUAGCUUGGCUAUGUGUCCACCUUCUUGUAACUGUACAAUAUCAAAUACACAGGACACGCCGGGGAUAAACAUGAAGUGUUGUAUGCUGGGAUUAAAGGAGCUGCCUCUAUUACCUCCCCUGGCAGAAGAGGUGUCACUCUCCCAUAAUCAAAUAAGCAAUAUAAAGGAGGAUUCAUUUUCCCAUCUGCCUCGUCUUCAGACUGUUGAUCUCAGCUAUAAUACAUUGAACUCAAUCCCAGAAACUGCAUUCUUUAUGACAUCACAAUUAAAAAACAUUAAUUUAUCACAUAAUCAAUUCGAGGAAGUCCCAAGUGGUUUACCAUUUGGAUUAAUGCAACUGGAUAUGAGUUAUAAUGCUAUCAAAAUGGUCGAUACUGUUGCCUUGGCGGGGCUCUAUUUGCUCAAAGAGUUAAACCUGAAUGAAAAUGACAUUUCUCUGAUUCAUAAAUCAAGUUUCAGAACCACUGAUAAAGGACCUCAAAUACAUCCAGGCGAAACAAAAUCAAACUCAAAUUUAACGGAGGUUAUGAAAAAAUAUUUUUUGCCAAACUUGCGGAAGAUUUCUCUACGAAACAAUCAGAUUUUAAAGAUAGAGUCGGGGGCUUUAGAUCCUCUUGUGUCAUUGACUCAUUUGGAUUUAAGCAGUAAUUACAUCAGUUCCAUCCCUGUGGAUUUAUUUAAGUCACUUCCGCAGCUGCAUAGUGUGAACCUAGCCAGAAAUCAGCUCAACGCAAUUAAAAAUGGAACUUUUAAAGGAAUUAUUUCAUUAAGGUAUUUAGACCUAAGUCGGAACUAUUUAACAACAUUACCUAUCGAUAUACCGCCUUUACGUUGGCUGGACAUGUCACAUAACAAAAUCACGACAAUUCCCAAAAAAUAUUCAGAUGUGAUACUGCCUGUGGAGUUAUUUACUUUUGCUUCAAAUCCACUAUAUUGCGAUUGUGAAAUAUUAUGGUUAAAGGAACUGUACGAUACUAGAGAUUUCAUGUUACAAUAUAUAGAUGGCUCUGAUGGUCACCUUGUACCACAGUGUAGUGGCCCAUCAAGAAUGGCAGGUGAAUUAUGGGAUAGUUUAGCUGAUUCAUUGUUCACCUGCGAGCCCUCGGAUUAUAAACCGCAACCUACCAAGGGCAGAUAUUUGGAAUCGGCAUCGAUAGUUACUCAGUACAUUACAUUUAACGUUACCAUAUCAGAAGCACUUUCUACAAACUUAACGAUUCAGUGGACAAUGUUGAAUCCUCAUGACAUUCCAUUUGACGGAAUUAUAAUUGAAUACCACAUAUUUGGCAAUAUACACAAAAAUAGUGUCCAUUUGAAAAAAUCAAAAUCUCAAUAUUCUCUAAGAUCUCUCAAGCCUAGGACUAAUUAUAUUUUAUGUUUGAGUGCAUAUGAGGCUAUGCAUGGUGUCCCAAGAUUC
rnacentral:misc_RNA from 1 species